CUGAACGCCUCUAAGUCAGAAUCCGUGCUAGAAACGAUGAUGUUGGUGUCGCACAUUAGACUUGUGUUUAAUAGAGCUUUGCUCGUGAACCAAAUAUGGUGGGCUGGGUUGUCUUUGUGGAAACGCUUAGGCGACUUGUCUACGAAUUGUAAUCAUAAUAUGGGCGGCGGUGAAUCCUUUGCAGACGACUUGAAUGGGAACGGGGUACUGUAAGUGGUAGAGUAGCCUUGUUGCUACGAUCCACUGAGGUUAAGCCCUUGUUCUAAAGAUUUGUUCA
rnacentral:rRNA from 1 species